GAGAGUUAAAUAGAUAUUGCUCGUUGAAUUUGAGCUAUUCCAAACCUUUACUUAGCAAUAGUUGAUUUGACCACUCUCAUGUAGGAUUAUGUACCGAGCACCGGUGCCAUAUUGGUGAAAUGAAAUGACAAAAAUGACACAAAUGACUAUAUGAACAUCUAUUUAUUGAACUUUAACAAAACUGAAAAGUGCAAAUGUAAAACAAAUCUUUUUUGUGGGAUUUAGUCCAGCGCUUCUUUAAUGUGUCUUGUCCAUAUAUUGAAGCAAUAAUGAUAACAAAUAAACAAAUAAUAAAUAGUAAAUGCUUUAUAUAGCCACAUAUUAAAAUAAGAAAAGCUUCCGAAGCAUCACGGCCGAGGCGAAAACAUGGGUAUUUUCUUUUAGUUCGUCCGUAAACUUACAUUUACGUUUCGGCAUGGCUGCAGAUGUCAUGUGCUGUAAACAAUGCAACUAGUGAAGUGCUCAGUGUUGCCAGAUUGUAAAUGGUGAAGUAUCGUACCAAAGGCUCAAAAUGGUCGUAUUUGGAGGAUAAUUAUCGUGUAUCUGGCAACAUUGAGAUCGGUCGACCAAUGACUGUUCUCUCUACAGUCAGAGCUCGCGAAAGAAGGUGGAACGUAAGGGAGACACCAUUUCCAAAACAGGUAAGGCCGUAACAACUAGUUUGUGAAAGACCCAGAGAAACACAAAUAUACGACGAAGCAAAAUCCCGGACGUUUAUGGAAUCUCUGCCGGACGCAUUUUUUAGGUCUCAAAAAGAGGACAUGUCCGGAGAAAAGAGGACGUUUUGUCACCCUAAUGAAACAGUCUGAUAACUCUGUCCUCGCAGCAGCUAACGAUGGCUCACCGCUUGUGUAGCUACAGCAGCUAGCUAGCCAUCUGCCUUCUAUUCGUAUUUAUUUUUCUACACAAUAGAAAAGCGAUGUGCUCUCGUGCCUCAUGCAGCUCUUCUGUGUUGCACGUCAAUACUUUGAGACAAACAAGGAGCGUCAAUCUAACGUAAAUGCUUUUCAAUAAAUGUCUUUAGUUCCUGCACAAUGAACAUGAAUCUCAAAUUAAAUGAUUAAUAUUCCCCAAAUUCAAAUUAACUACACUUCCGCUGUUACAGAGGGGAAACACUGUAAUCAUACUGUAAACUUUCAAAAGUUCAUAUAUUGUGCAUAGUUUGAAGUGAAAAAAACCCUUUCUUCAAUUGUGUUUGGGUUCAGGCUCUGUUUAGGAUCGGUAUUGGAAAAACCCAAACGAUACUCAUCCCUACUCUCACGUGACAUGUCUGCGCGCUCAACGUGAAGCUAAAGCCAGCCGCUGGUUAGCUUAGCAUGAAGACUGGAGACAAGAGGGCUCGAAAGGGAUGUUUAAAAAUCCGGAUUCAACAGUUUACAAAUUUCCGACUUGAUGAAACAAUAGACAAAAAAAAAAAGUGUUUGCUUUCAAGAUCAAGAUGGGGUCAUAGAAAAAAACAAGUAGAGCAAAGUGUUUUAUGCACCAUGUGAAGUGGAUGAGCUCCAUCAAUACAAUACACUGUCCACACACACACAUUUACUCUAAAGGCUCAGUUGCAUAUUGUAGAUACCUUCACUGUAACCAUAGAGACGUUACAUCAUGAUGGAACAUUUCUCCACGUUCCAUGUUCCAUGUUCAUGUUCUAUGCUCCGUUCACCACAGCAUAAGAACACAGUCUGUUGCACAUCCAGUCAGUCAGUUUCAAACCUCGCAUCUACACACUGAAGUUUUCCGGACCUACACUUGCAGAAAGCAACCAUGUAAUGCCUCAGGAGUCUGUGGAGGGGACGAAGACGCGUUCUGCUGCACUUAACAGAGCUCAAGACCAACGGGACGCCAUCAGACGCCACGUCAACCCCUCAGGAGCAAAUCCAGAUCUACGCAUGACAUACACUUAGAUACACUUUAUUAGAUGUACACAAAGACAUAACAAUUAGAUGUACACACAGACACUAACAAUUAGAUCCACACACAGACACACUAACAAUUAGAUGUACACACAGACACACUAACAUUUGGUUCUAAACAAAGACACACACUAACAUUUAGAUGUACACAAAGACACAUUAAUAUUUAGAUGUACACACAGACACACUAACAAUUAGAUCUACACACAGACACACUAACAAUUAGAUGUACACACGGACACACUAACAAUUAGAUCUACACACAGACACACUAACAAUUAGAUGUACACACUGACACGUGCUGAUGACCAUCCUCACGUCUCUUCUCCUUGUCUGCAGACCAACAGGACGCCAUCAGGACGCCACGUCAUCAGGACACCAUCAGGACGCCACGUCAUCGGGACGCCAUCAGGAUUCCAUCAGGACGCCAUCAGGACGCCGCGUCAACCCCUCAGGAGCAAAUCCAGAUCUACUCAUGACACACACACACACACACACACACACACACACACACAGAUACACAUUAACAUUUGGUUCUAAACAAAGACACACACUAACAUUUAGAUGUACACAAAGACACAUUAAUAUUUAGAUGUACACACAGACACACUAACAAUUAGAUGUACACACAGACACACUAACAUUUGGUUCUAAACAAAGACACACACUAAUAUUUAGAUGUACACAAAGACAAUAACAAUUAGAUGUACGCACAGACACACUAACAAUUAGAUCCACACACAGACACACUAACAAUUAGAUGUACACACAGACACACUAACAUUUGGUUCUAAACAAAGACACACACUAAUAUUUAGAUGUACACAAAGACAAUAACAAUUAGAUCCACACACAGACACACUAACAAUUAGAUGUACACACAGACACACUAACAUUUGGUUCUAAACAAAGACACACACUAACAUUUAGAUCUACACACAGACACACUAACAAUUAGAUGUACACACAGACACAUCCUGAUGAUCCUCCUCACGUCUCUUCUCCUUGUCUGCAGACCAACAGGACGCCAUCAGGACGCCACGUCAUCGGGACGCCAUCAGGACACCACGUCAUCGGGAUGCCAUCAGGACACCACGUCAUCGGGACGUCAUCGGGACGCCAUCAGGACGCCUAACAAUUAGAUGUACACACAGACACACUAUCAUUUGGUUCUAAACAAUGACACACACUAAUAUUUAGAUGUACACAAAGACACAAUAACAAUUAGAUGUACACACAGACACACUAUCAUUUGGUUCUAAACAAUGACACACUAAUAUUUAGAUGUACACAAAGACACAAUAACAAUUAGAUAUACACACAGACACACUAUCAUUUGGUUCUAAACAAAGACACACACUAAUAUUUAGAUGUACACAAAGACACAAUAACAAUUAGAUGUACACACGGACACAUCCUGAUGAUCCUCCUCACGUCUCUUCUCCUUGUCUGCAGACCAACAGGACGCCAUCAGGACGCCACGUCAUCGGGACACACUAACAUUUAGAUGUACACACAGACACACUAACAUUUGGUACUAAACAAAGACACACACUAAUAUUUAGAUGUACACAAAGACAUAAUAAUAUUUAGAUGUACACACAGACACACUAACAUUUAGAUGUACACACAGACACACUAACAAUUAGAUGUACACACAGACACACUAACAACAUUAACAUGUUAAUAACUUUUCUUCUUUUCUCUCUUCUCAG
ensembl:lncRNA